UUGGUGAAGAAAGUAAAGCUGAUAGUGUACUGUAGUAUACACUACUACAGAACAACCAAGUGAAGCGAACUUAAGCUUGCCAUCCCGAAACCCAAGCGAGCUACUUACCGGCAGCUAUCUGAGCAAACCUGUCUCUGUGGCAAAAGUGUGGGAUGACCUGCCAGUAGAGGUGAAAAGCCAGUCGAGCUGGGUGAUAGCUGGUUGCCUGUGAAACGAAUCGAAGUUCCCUCUUGACCCCUCUCCACGGACAAUUUAACCGAACCCCCAUGUAGUAGGUCAAGAGCAAUUUAAAGGAGGUACAGCUGCUUUAAAAAAGAGAACAGUCUGCUAUGGAGGGUAACUGAUUGCCCAUGAAUUAUCUAAACUGUAGGCCCUUAAGCAGCCACCAACAAAGAGUGCGCCAAAGCUCUACACCUAGAAAAUCUAAAAUCAAUACGACUCCCUCACCUUCAACAGGCCAACCUAUACCAAUAGGAUAUUGGUAUUGAUAAUGCUAA
rnacentral:ncRNA from 1 species